rnacentral:lncRNA from 1 species
AUGGGUACGAUGAACUAUGGGAAUAGGAUGAGUGUAGAUGAAAAAGAUUUUCUAAAGUAAUUUAAAGCCCACUAAUAAACUUUGCUACAACAAUUAAGUGAAAGGAAAUAAACACUUUCAUUCAAAAACAUAGUUAAUCAAAAUUUACAAUCAAAGAACUUAAAUAGAAGAAAAACUUGAGGUUUUAGAAGAGUCAGCGAGAAUGAGAACGAUGUGAUGCCCGGCAGGCAAGAGGAGGUGAGGCCCGGAGAGUCAGCGAGGACCCGGCGGACAGGAGGAGGUGAGGCCCGGCGGGAUGGUCAUGUUCACUUUUUAGUAUGAAGUAACGAUUGUCGAAAAAAAAAUGCUACAAAAUAUGAGAUCUCAAUACAGUCUUGAUUUCUUUUCUUUAAUGUCUUGAUGUUGAAAAAUAAAAUUUCUUUUCCGUUUCUUGAGGAAAGUUUUUUCUUUGAUGUAUUGAUGUUGAAUUCAUUUUUUUGUACAAAAUAUAUUUAUGCCAAAAAUAAUUUUUAUGCAAAACAUAAAUUUCAAAUUUUGGUAUUUUCUUAAUUUUGAGAUAUCCAAUUUCUAAAAUAGAUUAAUUGAAACAACAUAUUAACAAUAUAUUAACAAUCUCUUGUGUAGAUUAAUUUAUUUAAAUUAUUUGGAUCCGUCCCAUUACUAACGGGUAAAAAUAAUGAAAGCGUUAAAUCUAACGGUGGAAAUAUCGUUAGUACCAAGACCUUAGUGUGAUCGAUAGUAUCCCAAACAGACUCUAUAUAUAUAUAUCCCCAAUUAAGUAUUCGCCCUGUUAGUCGCACGCUUUGAGUAUUCUCCCCGAAGGCCAGGAGAAUACGAGGUUGCUGAAAAGAGCCGGCGAGGAGUAGGAGGACUUGGGACGAGCUGCACUGGACGUCAUCUUUUCUUUCAUCUGUGCUCUAUAUAGAGUACCAGUUGGAAAAUGUUUCCUGUUUUCGGUUUAACAUCUCAUGUAUGAUCGAUGAAGGCUCACGUUCUUGUUCUUAACUUGCGCAUCUCGAUCGGCGGAGUCAGGGAGGAGGUUCCGAUGGUCUCAAGACAGAGAAGAGGAUCUGGCAAAUUCUCGUUCCCCACCAAUGUUGCGAUAGGAGAUCUCACCGACCACGAAAAACAGCUGAACCGUCCUGCCUCCUCCUCUACCUCGCCAAGACGACGCCAAUCCAAAGAAUCAAAUGUCACGACAGAACAAGAUGGUUCGCGCGCGUUUAUUAUGCUCUUUUUUUUUAUGAAUUCUUUAACCUUUUAUUCUUACAAGAAUUUCUUUUUCUUUCAGAUUUCGAUUCAAUAUUCCGGGAUGUCCCGCCAUGGAGAGGCCCAACCCGUGGAAAUCAAUAUAUUGAUGGGUACGAUGAACUAUGGGGAUGGGAUAGGUGUAGAUGAAAGAAAUUUUCUAAAGUAAUUUAAAGCUCACUAAUAAACUUUGCUACAACAAUUAAGUAAAAGAAAAUAAACACUUUCAUUCAAAAACUUAGUUAAUCAAAGCUUACAAUCAAAGGACUUGAAUAGAAUAAAAAACUUGAGGUUUUAGAAGAGUCAGCGAGAACGAGAACGAUGUGAUGCCCGGCAGGCAGGAGGAGGUGAGGCCCGGAGAGUCAGCGAGGACGACGUAAUGCCCGGCGGGCAGGAGGAUGUGAGGCCUGGCGGGUUGGUCAUGUUCAUUUUUUAGUAUGAAGUAACGAUUGUCGAAAAGAAAAUUCUACAAAAUAUGAGAUCUCAAUACAGUCUUGAUUUUUUUUCUUUAAUGUCUUGAUGUUGAAAAAUAAAAUUUUCUUUUCCGUUUCUUGAGGAAAGUUUUUUUCUUUGAUGUAUUGAUGUUGAAUUCAUUUUUUUGUACAAAACAUAUUUAUGGCAAAAAUAAUUUUUAUGCAAAACAUAAAUUUCAAAUUUUGGUAUUUUCUUACUUUUGAGAUAUCCAAUUUCUAAAAUAGAUUAAUUGAAACAACAUAUUAACAACAUAUUAACAAUCUCUUGUGUAGAUUAAUUUAUUUAAAUGAUUUGGAUCUGUCCCAUUACUAACGGGUAAAAAUAAUGAAUGCGUUAAAUCUAACGGUGGAAAUAUCGAUAGUACCAAGACCUUAGUGCUAUCGAUAGUAUCCCAGCCGGACUCUAUAUAUAUAUGCCCAAUUAAGUAUCCGCCCUAUUAGUCGCACGCUUUGGGCUUUAUUUGAGUGAGCGAAAGAGGGAGACUAUCUCAUCUCCUACUUCUUGCCUGAUAUCAAAGUGCAAAUAUAGCCUCAGGCUCUCCCGAAGGCCAGGAGAAGGUGAGGUUGCUUAAUAGAGCCGGCGAGGAGUAGGAGGACUUGGGACGAGCUGCACUGGACGUCAUCUUUUCUUUCAUCUGUGCUCUAUAUAGAGUACCUGUUGGAGAAUGUUUCCUGUUUUCGGUUUAACAUCUCAUGUAUGAUCGAUGAAGGCUCACGUUCUUGUUCUUAACUUGCGCAUCUCGAUCGGCGGAGUUAGGGAGGAGGUUCCAAUGGUCUCAAGAUGGAGAAGAGGAUCUGACAAAUUCUCGUUCCCCACCAAUUUUGCUAUAGGAGAUCUCACCGACCACGAGAAACAGCUGAACCGUCCUGCAUCUUCCUCUACCUCGCCAAGACGGCGCCAACCUCAAAAAUCAAAUGUCACGCCAGAACAAGAUGGUUCGCGCGCAUUUACUAUGCACUUUUUUUUUAUGGAUUCUUUAACCUUUUAUUCUUACGAGAAUUUCUUUUUCUCUCAGAUUUCGAUUCAAUAUUCCGAAAUGUCCCGCCAUGGAGAGGCCCAACCCGAGGAAAUCAAUAUAUUGAUGGGUACAAUGAACUAUGGGGAUUGGAUGGGUGUAGAUGAAAAAGAUUUUCUAAAGUAAUUUAAAGCUCACUACUAAACUUUGCUACAACAAUUAAGUGAAAGAAAAUAAACACUUUUAUUCAAAAACAUAAUUAAUCAAAGCUUACAAUCAAAGGACUUGAAUAGAAGAAAAAAGUUGAGGUUUUAAAAGAGUCAGCGAGAACGAGAACGAUGUAUGCCCGGCAGGCAGGAGGAGGUGAGGCCCGGAGAGUCAGCGAGAACGACGUAAUGCCUAGCGGGCAGGAGGAUGUGAGGCCCGGCGGAUUGGUCAUGUUCAUUUUUUAGCAUUAAGUAACGAUUGUCGAAAAGAAAAUGCUACAAAAUAUGAGAUCUCAAUACAGUCUUGAUUUUUUUUUUCUUUAAUGUCUUGAUGUUGAAAAAUAAAAUUUUUUUUCCGUUUCUUGAGGAAAGUUUUUUUCUUUGAUGUAUUGAUGUUGAAUUCAUUUUUUUGUACAAAACAUAUUUAUGGCAAAAAUAAUUUUUAUGCAAAACAUAAAUUUCAAAUUUUGAUAUUUUCUUACUUUUGAGAUAUCCAAUUUCUAAAAUAGAUUAAUUGAAACAACAUAUUAACAAUAUAUUAACAAUCUCUUGUGUAGAUUAAUUUAUUUAAAUUAUUUGGAUCCGUCCCAUUACUAACGGGUAAAAAUAAUGAAAAUGUUAAAUCUAACGGUAGAAAUAUCGAUAGCAGCAAGACCUUAGUGCUAUCGAUAGUCUCCCAGCUGUACUCUAUAUAUAUAUAUAUGCCCAAUUAAGUAUCCGCCCUGUUAGUCGCACGCUUUGGGCUUUAUUUGAGUAAGCGAAAGAGGGAGACUCUCUCAUCUCCUACUUCUUGUGUGAUAUCAAAGUGCAAAUAUGGCCUUAGGCUCUCUUUGGGAGAGCCGGCGAGGAGUAGGAGGAAUUGGGACGAGCGGCACUGGACGUCAUCUUUUCUUUUAUCUGUGAUCUAUAUAGAGUACCUGUUGGAGAAUGUUUCCUAUUUUCGGUUUAACAUCUCAUGUAUGAUCGAUGAAGGCUCACGUUCUUGUUCUUAACUUGCGCUUCUCGAUCGGCGGAGUCGGGGAGGAGGUUCCGAUGGUCUCAAGACGGAGAAAAGGAUCUGGUAAAUUUCCGUUCCCCACCAAUGUUGCGAUAGGAGAUCUCACCGACCACGAGAAACAGCUGAACCGUCCUGCCUCUCCUCUACCUCGCCAAGACGGCGCCAACCCCAAGAAUCAAAUGUCACGCCAGAACAAGAUGGCUCGCGCGCGUUUACUAUUCUCUUCUUUUUUUAUGGAUUCUUUAACCUUUUGUUUUUACGAGAAAUUCUUUUUCCCGCAGAUUUCGAUUCAAUAUUCCCGGAUGUCCCGCCAUGGAGAGGCCCAACCCUUGGAAAACAAUAUAUUGAUGGGUACGAUGAACUAUGGGAAUAGGAUGAGUGUAGAUGAAAAAGAUUUUCUAAAGUAAUUUAAAGCCCACUAAUAAACUUUGCUACAACAAUUAAGUGAAAGGAAAUAAACACUUUCAUUCAAAAACAUAGUUAAUCAAAAUUUACAAUCAAAGAACUUAAAUAGAAGAAAAACUUGAGGUUUUAGAAGAGUCAGCGAGAAUGAGAACGAUGUGAUGCCCGGCAGGCAAGAGGAGGUGAGGCUCGGAGAGUCAGCGAGGACCCGGCGGACAGGAGGAGGUGAGGCCCGGCGGGAUGGUCAUGU